CCUACGGGGGGCUGCAGUGGGGAAUAUUGGACAAUGGGGGGAACCCUGAUCCAGCCAUGCCGCGUGUGUGAAGAAGGCCCUCGGGUUGUAAAGCACUUUCAGUGAGGAAGAACGCCUGGUGGUUAAUACCCAUCAGGAAAGACAUCACUCACAGAAGAAGCACCGGCUAACUCCGUGCCAGCAGCCGCGGUAAUACGGAGGGUGCGAGCGUUAAUCGGAAUUACUGGGCGUAAAGCGCGCGUAGGUGGCUUGAUAAGCCGGUUGUGAAAGCCCCGGGCUCAACCUGGGAACGGCAUCCGGAACUGUCAAGCUAGAGUGCAGGAGAGGAAGGUAGAAUUCCCGGUGUAGCGGUGAAAUGCGUAGAGAUCGGGAGGAAUACCAGUGGCGAAGGCGGCCUUUUGGACUGACACUGACACUGAGGUGCGAAAGCGUGGGUAGCAAACAGGAUUAGAUACCCCAGUAGUC
rnacentral:rRNA from 1 species